AACGAACGCUGGCGGCGCGCCUAAUACAUGCAAGUCGAGCGAGAAGACGUAGCAAUACGUUUGUAAAGCGGCGAACGGGUGAGGAAUACAUGGGUAACCUACCCUCGAGUGGGGAAUAACUAGCCGAAAGGUUAGCUAAUACCGCGUACGCUCCUUGGACUUCGGUUCAGGGAGGAAAGCGAUACCGUGGGUAUCGCGCUCUUGGAUGGGCUCAUGUCCUAUCAGCUUGUUGGUGAGGAACGGCUCACCAAGGCUUCGACGGGUAGCUGGUCUGAGAGGACGAUCAGCCACACUGGCACUGCGACACGGGCCAGACUCCUACGGGAGGCAGCAGUAAGGAAUAUUGCGCAAUGGGCGAAAGCCUGACGCAGCGACGCCGCGUGGGGGAUGAAGGUCUUCGGAUUGUAAACCUCUUUCAGCUCCGACGAAGCGAGAGUGACGGUAGGAGCAGAAGAAGCACCGGCCAAC
rnacentral:rRNA from 1 species